AUGAGAUGCAAUCUGACGAAUCAAGAGAGAGCAAGCUGCAGAGAGAAGUCAGACAGAGCAGCAUUAAUAGCGGAAAACCAAACUUUUCUCAUGACACAGACAGACCUGGAGAGAUUCAGAAGACUAACAGAUGAGAUACAGAUGGAGUGUAGAAAUGAAAUAACGCAUACAGUAAACUCCUGCAACAUCAGAAACCACAGACCAGCAAAAAGCAACAGGACAGAGAGAAAAAUGGAGGCCAGAAAUGAAACACAAACCAGUGGAUCACACUUGUUAGAUGUGACAGUAUGA
ensembl:lncRNA